rnacentral:rRNA from 1 species
AGGGCAGACGGUGGAUGCCUUGGCUCUCGGAGGCGAUGAAGGACGUGAUAAGCUGCGAAAAGCUUGGGGGAAGUGCAAAUAACUAUUGAUCCCAAGAUGUCCGAAUGGGGCAACCCGUCAGGUUGAAGGCCUGACAUUCUCUUAAUGAGAAGGCGAACGUGGGGAACUGAAACAUCUAAGUACCCAUAGGAGAAGAAAACAAAAGUGAUUCCGUAAGUAGUGGCGAGCGAACGCGGAUUAGCCCAAACCAGUGUUGUUUCGGCAACAUUGGGGUUGUAGGACUACGUUGUGGCAAGAACUUAGUGUAGUGGAGCGCUUUGGAAAGAGCGGCCAUAGAGAGUGACAGCCUCGUACACGACACGCUAAAGAAGCCUAGUAGUAUCCUGAGUAGCGCGGGACACGUGAAAUCCUGUGUGAAUCUGUGGGGCCCAUCCCAUAAGGCUAAAUACUCCCGAGAGACCGAUAGCGAACCAGUACCGUGAGGGAAAGGUGAAAAGAACCCCGAACAGGGGAGUGAAAUAGACCCUGAACCCGUUUGCCUACAAGCGGUCGGAGCGAUUGUAAGAUUGUGACGGCGUGCCUUUUGCAUAAUGAACCUACGAGUUACUUACACUGGCAAGGUUAAGAGCCAUGAGGUUUGUAGCCGAAGCGAAAGCGAGUCUUAACAGGGCGGUAUUGAGUCGGAGGGAGUAGACGCGAAACCAAGUGAUCUACCCAUGGUCAGGUUGAAGGUUAGGUAACACUAAUUGGAGGACCGAACCGGUAAACGUUGAAAAGUUUUCGGAUGAACUGUGGGUAGGGGUGAAAGGCUAAUCAAACUUGGAGAUAGCUCGUACUCCCCGAAAUGCAUUUAGGUGCAGCCUCAGGUGUUCUUAAUACGAGGUAGAGCGACUGAUUGGAUGCGAGGGCUUCGCCGCCUAUCAAGUCCAGAUAAACUCCGAAUGCGUAUUAAUUAGAGCCUGGGAGUGAGGGCAUGGGUGCUAAGGUCCAUGUCCGAGAGGAGAAGAAUCCGGACCAUCAGCUAAGGUCCCCAAAUAACAGUUAAGUUGGUUAAACGAAGUCGGCGUGCAGAGACAGCUAGGAUGUUGGCUUGGAAGCAGCCAUUCAUUUAAAGAGUGCGUAACAGCUCACUAGUCGAGGAGUCUGGCGUGGAUAAUACUCGGGCAUAAACUGUUUACCGAAGCUAUGGACUCAAUUAAUUUGAGUGGUAGGGGAGCAUUCUAACGGCCUAGAAGGUAAGAGAUAACUCUUGCUGGAGCUUUUAGAAAAGCAAAUGUAGGUAUAAGUAACGAUAAAGGGGGUGAGAAACCCCCUCGCCGAAAGACUAAGGAUUCCUGAUCAACGCUAAUCGGAUCAGGGUUAGUCGGGACCUAAGGUUCACCCUUUGCGGGGAGACCGAUGGCAGAAAGGGUUAAUAUUCCCUUACUACUUUAUGAGAGUGAUGUGGAGACGGAGAAGUGAAAGUCCUGCCGCCUGACGGAAUAGGUGGUUAAAGGGUGUAGAUGUCGAUUUAGGUAGGCCAAAUCCGCCUAGAGAGUCGAACCUGACAGUAUGCUGCGUACUUGUACAAGGCAAAAUGGAUGUAACCAGGCUCCCAAGAAAAUCCGCUAAGCGUUAUAAAUCAUAGAGUACCCGUACCGUAAACGGACACACGUAGUUGGGUUGAGUAUACUAAGGCGCUCGAGUGAUUCACGGUUAAGGAACUAGGCAAAAUGGUCCUGUAACUUCGGGAUAAAGGACGCCAGCUGUGAAAGGCUGGCCGCAGAGAAUAGGCCCAGGCGACUGUUUAACAAAAACACAUGGCUAUGCAAAUUGGAAACAAGAAGUAUAUAGCCUGACACCUGCCCGGUGCUGGAAGGUUAAGAGGAGAGCUUAUCUUCGGAGAAGGUUUGAAUUGAAGCCCCAGUAAACGGCGGCCGUAACUAUAACGGUCCUAAGGUAGCGAAAUUCCUUGUCGGGUAAGUUCCGACCUGCACGAAUGGUGUAACGAUCUGGGCACUGUCUCAACCGUGAGCUCGGUGAAAUUGUAGUAUCGGUGAAGAUGCCGAUUACCCGCGAUGGGACGAAAAGACCCCGUGAACCUUUACUAUAGCUUUACAUUGAAUCUGGGCAUCAGAUGUGUAGGAUAGGCCGGAGGCUAUGAAGCGGGCACGCCAGUGUUCGUGGAGCCGUCGUUGAAAUACGGCCCUUUGGUUGUCUGGGUUCUAACUCUCUUAAGAGAGGACAUUGUAUGGUGGGUAGUUUGACUGGGGUGGUCGCCUCCAAAAGUGUAACGGAGGCUUCUAAAGGUACCCUCCGACCGAUUGGUAACCGGUCUUAGAGUGUAAUGGCAUAAGGGUGCUUGACUGGGAGAGAGACAACUCGAUCAGGUAGGAAACUAGAGCAUAGUGAUCCGGUGGUUCCGCAUGGAAGGGCCAUCGCUCAAAGGAUAAAAGGUACUCCGGGGAUAACAGGCUGAUCGCUCCCAAGAGCUCAUAUCGACGGAGCGGUUUGGCACCUCGAUGUCGGCUCGUCACAUCCUGGGGCUGGAGAAGGUCCCAAGGGUUGGGCUGUUCGCCCAUUAAAGUGGCACGCGAGCUGGGUUCAGAACGUCGUGAGACAGUUCGGUCUCUAUCUAUCGUGGGCGUAGGAUAUUUGCGAGGCUCUGACACUAGUACGAGAGGACCGUGUUGGACAGACCUCUGGUUUGCCGGUUGUUUCGCCAGGAGCAUGGCCGGGUAGCUAAGUCUGGAUUGGAUAAGUGCUGAAAGCAUCUAAGUACGAAGCCAGCCUCAAGAUUAGAUAUCCCUUAAGGGUGGUUAUAGACUAUGACCUUGA